GUGGGCGGAAUUGAUGGAAAUUGUGACUCUUAAUCAGUAGGUCGUAGGUUCGAAUCCUACUGCCCCCA
rnacentral:tRNA from 1 species